rnacentral:rRNA from 1 species
UACGAACUGUGCAAACGUUAUUCGGAAUCACUGGGCUUAAAGGGUGCGUAGGCGGCUCGUUAAGUAGGGUGUGAAAGCCCCCGGCUCAACCGGGGAAUGGCGCUCUAAACUGACGGGCUGGAGUGAGAUAGGGGUGUGUGGAACUUCCGGUGGAGUGGUGAAAUGUGUUGAUAUCGGAAGGAACGCCGGUGGCGAAAGCGACACACUGGGUCUCAACUGACACUGAGGCACGAAAGCCAGGGGAGCAAACGGGAUUAGAAACCCCUGUAGU